CGUGGUAGAUAAGUUUGAGUUGCAUAGUGGCAGUCUUCCUUUGUUUGUUAACCCAUAUUUUCAUGAUUCGAGGCCUAUUAAACCUCUGUUACAUCUGCUUUUUGAAAAGUUGUCAUUUUUCUGAAAUCUUCUUGCCUCAAUUUCCAACAGCAGAUUCAUCUUUCAUUGGAUGAUCCGUUAGUUUUUGAUAGAAAAAAUGAGGUGGGAAGAAAUUAAGACUGACUUCGAAAUAGCCUUUAAAAUAGGGGUUUAUAGACCUCGAAUCAUAUCAAACGAGUCUGCUACUAUGCUACUGAAAACUUUAUCAAA